rnacentral:rRNA from 1 species
AUUGAACGCUGGCGGCAGGCCUAACACAUGCAAGUCGAACGAGUGGCGGACGGGUGAGUAAUGUCUGGGAAACUGCCUGAUGGAGGGGGAUAACUACUGGAAACGGUAGCUAAUACCGCAUACCAUCGGAUGUGCCCAUAUGGGAUUAGCUAGUAGGUGGGGUAACGGCUCACCUAGGCCACGAUCCCUAGCUGGUCUGAGAGGAUGACCAGCCACACUGGAACUGAGACACGGUCAAGACUCCGACGGGAGGCAGCAGUGGGGAAUAUUGCACAAUGGGCGCAAGCCUGAUGCAGCAAUGCCGCGUGUAUGAAGAAGGCCGUAGGGUUGGAAAGUACUUUCAGCGGGGAGGCGUUACCCGCAGAAGAAGCACCGGCUAACUCCGUGCCAGCAGCCGCGGUAAUAC